UAAAAUUGGUGAUAUUAGCUUUCACCUUCGCUUUCGUCUGUAUAAAAACAGAAGAGACAACACGAGAAUCUAGGCGGAGAAAAUAUAGGGUGCUAAACAUAGCUACCCUUUUUUGAAUUGUCGGCACCGUACAAAACUUGACUCUGAGAUGCAGUUCCAUUUUAGAACUUGUUUCGCUUCUUGCGUCUCGUUAAGACAGGUUCAAACACGCGACUCAAUGCUAGAUACGCAUUUCGCGACCUCUCGCGGUACGGUUUCCACGUCGAAUUGUCUUUCGCCUCGACGAUCACUUUCUUGACGCGAUCGCGUGGCCAACGCUCAUUCGAUGAACGUGCGACAUCUGAUGCGAGUGUGUCAAUGACUGGUGAAAGGUAUCAAUGGAUUUUCCUCUACUGACCCACGACAAGGAACUUUCAAUCUCUAGUCACCUACACGACGAUUACGCGCUUCUACUUACAUAAUCGAGGCAGUGUUGCAGGACUUGACACGAACCACCGGUAGGAAG